rnacentral:snRNA from 1 species
CUGUUCUUGCUUCAGCAACACAUAUACUAAAAUUGGAAUGAUGCAGAGAAAUUACCAUGGCCCCUGUGCAAGAGUGACACACAAAUUAAUAAGCAGCUCCAUAUUUUU